GAUGAAGAACGCAGCGAAAUGCGAUACGUAAUGUGAAUUGCAGAAUUCAGUGAAUCAUCGAAUCUUUGAACGCAUAUUGCGCUCUCUGGUAUUCCGGAGAGCAUGCUUGUUUGAGUAUCAGUAAACACCUCAACUUCCAUAUCUUUUUUGAAAUGGGAGUUGGACUUGAGUGAUCCCAACGCUUUUCCUCACCGAAAAGUGGCGGGUUACUUGAAAUGCAGGUGCAGCUGGACUUUUCUCUGAGCUUAUAAGCAUAUCUAUUUAGUCUGCCUAAAAAACAGAUUAUUACCUUUGCUGCAGCUAACAUAAAGGAGAUUAGUUCUUGUGCUGACUGAUGCAGGAUUCACAAAGACAGGCUUCGGCCGACUUUGUAAACUCGAUCUCAAAUCAAGUAAGACUACCCGCUGAACUUAAGCAUAUCAAAAGCGGAGGA
rnacentral:misc_RNA from 1 species